GAUGAACGCUAGCGGAAGGCGUAAUACAUGCAAGUCGAACGGAUGUAGCAAUACAUUAGUGGCGCACGGGUGCGUAACGCGUAUGCAACCUACCUUCAUCAGGGGGAUAACUACCCGAAAGGGUGGCUAACACCGCAUAAUACUACUGAAUGGCAUCAUUUGGUAUUUAAAUCUGAGGAGGAUGAAGAUGGGCAUGCGUCUGAUUAGCUAGUUGGUGUGGUAACGGCGCACCAAGGCGACGAUCAGUAGGGGAACUGAGAGGUUGGUCCCCCACACUGGCACUGAGAUACGGGCCAGACUCCUACGGGAGGCAGCAGUAGGGAAUAUUGGUCAAUGGUGGGAACACUGAACCAGCCAUUCCGCGUGCAGGAAGAAGGGUCUCUGACUUGUAAACUGCUUUAGCAAGGGAAGAAAAAGCUCAUGCGUGAGAAAUUGACGGUACCUUGAGAAUAAGCACCGGCUAACUACGUGCCAGCAGCCGCCGUAACAC
rnacentral:rRNA from 1 species